CGACCUGAGUUCAGACGAGGCUACACGAUGAUCUUAACCAUAUUUAUACACGUCGGAA
rnacentral:rRNA from 1 species